rnacentral:rRNA from 1 species
UACGGAGGGUGCGAGCGUUGUCCGGAAUCACUGGGCGUAAAGGGCGCGUAGGUGGCGCGGGCAGUCAACGGUGAAAGUUCGGGGCUCAACCCUGAAUCGGCCGUCGAUACUCCCGGGCUUGAGCACUGUAGAGGCUAAUGGAAUUCCGGGUGUAGCGGUGGAAUGCGUAGAGAUCCGGAAGAACACCGGUGGCGAAGGCGGUUAGCUGGGCAGUUGCUGACACUGAGGCGCGAAAGCUGGGGGAGCAAACGGG